GAACCCACAACAAGAGCUCAAUCGACAUUUACAACAGAUAUGUCCCCUACAAGUAUGUCCACAUUAGAAUCAGGUACAAGUGAAAGUGGACCAACGGUGCAAAUUACUCUGUCCACAACAGUUACCUCUCCAUCUUCACCGUCUACUUCAACAGAAGAACAAAGUACAUCAGAAUUAACUUCAUCAGCAACCGAAAUAUCUUCAUCCACUGUAGAGCAAACAACAAGCCAGCAGGCUCAAACAACUGUGUUUAGUUUUACCACAGAAACAGAACCUAUAAUGACAGCUCAAUCAACAUUUACAACAGCUAUGUCCCCUAUGACCACGACCACUAUUGAAUCAUCUAC
ensembl:lncRNA